rnacentral:lncRNA from 1 species
AUCAGUGAAACUCGAAUUGGUCAUCACCGUGUGAUCCUUCUUUUGAGGCCUCGCUGAAUUGAAACCAAUGCUCAGUUAGGAAUUUGAACAGCUUCGUGUGAUGACUUCGAUUAGCAUAUGAAUGAGAAAAUUCAAGCUCUCCUCACACCUGAGGAACCUGUUGCUGUUUACAGUAUAAAAUUGUAUGAUAUCAUUGAAUGUUAUAGGACAAUUCAACCAUCUGGAAGAUCAGUUCUUGUUGAUGCAUGCUUUGACACAAAGUUCAUAUUAAGUAUCAAAUGUUAGUGGCAGUGCGUUUAUCGAUUUGAUUCAACUUUUUGUUGUUAUAAGGCCUAGAGUUUACCUGAAGGUUUGACAUCACAAAACCUUCUCCAGUUACCUACAAGUGGCCAAAGUUACAGAUUUCUCUAAACUUGAAUUGAUUCCUUUUAAGCAACUGAUAAAUUGAAAUGUUCAAGAAAAUUUAAAACAUAAUGCUAGUUCAUGUCUUUUUGGCAACUAAUAAAUUAAAUGUUAAAAGAAAAUGUUAAAAUAUAAUACUUGUUAAUAUCUUUUUGUUUUACAAGUUUAACCACACGUAUCUCGUGCAUGUAACAUUUGAUUAUUUAAAAUUAAAUAAUUUUAUCUAUUACAGAGAUUUUUAGUGCAAUUUCACAUUUCAAUAUAAUUAUAUAAACAUAAACCUAUAUUUAGUUUAAACACAUAUUUUAUCAUUAGAAGUUUUAAGUGGUUGAUCGAUGUCACUUUUACAUUGCCAUGCAGUACUCUUUCCGUUGUUGCCAAAGACUAAGAGAGACAUCAAUUUGAAUCAUAUUUGUGCCAUGAUUAUUUUUUUCUAUAUUUAAAAUCUUUCUUUGUUUUUAAAGUCAAAUUUUUACAAAAUCAUUGAUUACGUUUUUAUUACGUACUUAAAACUUUUAAAAUUUGAUACUUCUUAAAUUUUUCUUAUUCUAAUAUUUUUAUAUUUAUUUUUAGAUUUUUCAAAUUUUCUUAAAAUCAAAUGUAGUUGAUUUAGAAUUCUUAAAUUAAUGAAAAAAUAUUAGUUGUCAUUAAUUCUGAUGAAUUCUAAUAAGAAAAAAUUUUGUCAUAAAUAAAGUUAAUUAAUUUUUAAUACUUAAAUAUUAGAAAAAAACACUACUUUUAAUAAAGAAAUAUUUUAGCAUAAAUAUAUUUAAAUAAAUUUCAACUCUUAAAUAUCCAGAAAAAAGUAAUAAAAAGAUGAUUUUGUCUAAAACAAAUACUUUUAAUAAAAGACAAAAUUAUAGAUUAUAGAUAUACUUUUAAUAUAUUAUACAUUAUAGAUAUAGAUAUAAAUUAUAGAUAUAGAUUAUAGAUUAUAUUGUUUUAUUUGGAAGAAUUGCAUCAGGAAUGUUGUAGGCACGUAAAAAAAUACAUAUGAUGUUACAUAUCAAAAAGACAAAAACCACGAAUGUUGAUCACUACAAAAAACAUGGAGUAAAAUUCUCAUUUCUCAAUGUUCCACAAAUCCCUAGAACAAUCAUAUCCUUCUACACUGGCACACUCCAAUACAUUUCCUUUACAUCAGCACCAAUGGUGGCGAUCUAAUUCAGGGUGGAUCUGUUAAGAGCGGUGAGUGUGCCACGCUACCCGCAAACUUUGACGGAAGUUUUUACUAUAUACGGAUAUAAUCAAAUAAUUAACAUGCUAUUCACAAAACUGAAGAAUUGUUUAUUCAGAGUGGUAGAGCAUCACAUUUACUGCCCCUAGGGUGCAUGUUCGACCUUUGGCAACCUUAUUUUUUUCCUUUAUUUGUAGGCUGAAGUGAAGCCACAAAUGACUACUCAGUUGGCAACCCGUUUUUCUUAUAUAUGUAUUAAUAGUAAUUAUAUUAAUUUUUUUUUUAUUUUCCAAAUAUUAAUCGUUAAUAUUGAUAUUAAAAAGUGCUUAAUUUUAUUGACUCUCCUCAAAUUAAAAAAAAUCCUAUUCUAGCGGCGGGCAUGGUAUGAUAUAUAUUGAAUACCAUAUCAAAAUUAAAAUUUUUUAUACCGCAAUAUGGAUGUUAUGGUAUUUGGUAGAACUUUUAAAUUAUUUUGAUAUUUGGUAUGGUAUUUGGUAUUUAUACAAUAAAUAUCGAAAUACCGUUUACUGCAUCAAAGUUUUUUAAUGAUAUAUAAAACUCAUAUAUAUAAUAUUUAAGAUUAUUAAAUAUAUUUAUAUAUCAUCCAUUAGCCAAUCGAACAUAAAAGUAACUUUUAUUCAGAAAUAAAUUUUUUGGAAAGCUUAUUAGUUAGUAGUACUAUGCUGAAGCUUAGGUAAUGUUGUUCAGAGUUUGCAUCUUAGACUACUCAAUCGUGAUUAAAAUGUUCUUUUAGUGUAAUUGAUUAACAAUGAAAGUUUUUAGUUUGAUAUGAUUGAGACAUUUUUAAAGUUUAAAGUUAUAAUUUUUUCAUAUGCAUGUAUGUAAAGUCGAAAUCAAAUAAAGUAUGGUUACCGAAUUAAAUGGUUAGCUUUUAGCUUUAUAUUCAGUUACAUUUACAUGUCGGUACAAUAUCUGUACUCUUGACAUGUGAAAGUUCUCAUCAAGAUGUCAAUCUCUGAACAAUUUUUCAAUUUUAACUAUUCCUUUGUUACUUCAUAUUUGGCAGAUUUGAUCUAGGAUUUCCUUUGAAAAUCCUUUCUGAUUCAUUCUUUGACAAGAAUCUCAUACAUCAGAUUUUUGUAAUCAUCUUUUAAUGUUCAUAAAAGAUUGACUUAGUUUUAGUGAAUUUAUGCCGAUUUUGAUUCAUUCUCUUGGCAAUGCCUUUUAUGCCCUAGAACUAUAGUGGUCCACGUUGAAACGUAUCCAUGUACUUGGUUUGACCAUCAAUCUUAAACCUACCUCUCUCAAUCUCUCAAAUUCUAACACUAGCCGCUCGAAUAACCAUGCUAUUAGCACCUCUACUUUCCUGCUCAAAGCACUUUAUACAGCACCACCAACUAUUUAUGAUUUAGAUAAGAAAAUAAUGACUGAAGAACCAGAUUCAUGCUUCUUGGCACUUUUUGUCAUUGGCAGGUCCUCCGGCACCUUGGUCGUAUCAGUGAAACUCGAAUUGGUCAUCACCGUGUGAUCCUUCUUUUGAGGCCUCGCUGAAUUGAAACCAAUGCUCAGUUAGGAAUUUGAACAGCUUCGUGUGAUGACUUCGAUUAGCAUAUGAAUGAGAAAAUUCAAGCUCUCCUCACACCUGAGGAACCUGUUGCUGUUUACAGUAUAAAAUUGUAUGAUAUCAUUGAAUGUUAUAGGACAAUUCAACCAUCUGGAAGAUCAGUUCUUGUUGAUGCAUGCUUUGACACAAAGUUCAUAUUAAGUAUCAAAUGUUAGUGGCAGUGCGUUUAUCGAUUUGAUUCAACUUUUUGUUGUUAUAAGGCCUAGAGUUUACCUGAAGGUUUGACAUCACAAAACCUUCUCCAGUUACCUACAAGUGGCCAAAGUUACAGAUUUCUCUAAACUUGAAUUGAUUCCUUUUAAGCAACUGAUAAAUUGAAAUGUUCAAGAAAAUUUAAAACAUAAUGCUAGUUCAUGUCUUUUUGGCAACUAAUAAAUUAAAUGUUAAAAGAAAAUGUUAAAAUAUAAUACUUGUUAAUAUCUUUUUGUUUUACAAGUUUAACCACACGUAUCUCGUGCAUGUAACAUUUGAUUAUUUAAAAUUAAAUAAUUUUAUCUAUUACAGAGAUUUUUAG